rnacentral:tRNA from 7 species
GGACAGAUGCCCGAGUGGUUAAAGGGGACGGACUGUAAAUCCGUUGGCAAUUGUCUACGGUGGUUCAAAUCCACCUCUGUCCA